rnacentral:lncRNA from 1 species
AUAUUUUAGUCACUCCAUAAACACAUAUUGGUUAGUGUUAGUCAUACUAUUUACGUGUUGUGUUUUCCACAAUAACUUGAUUAAUUAGGUUCCAUCCUCAGCUUUAACGUCUUCUUCCAAAGGUUCUCAUCGAUUAGUACCGUCAACCUGUACAUAUUAUACUAUUUUGUUUACUAUUUUGUUCCCUCAUUGGCUACUAUUUUGUUCUUAUUUUUUGCAUAGGUGAAAUGUGAAGCCAAGCGUGAAGUCAUGAAGCCUAUAUGCAAAGAGUAGCAUAUCAUGUAUUGUGAUAGUAGGCUGUAGUAGGCAUAUUUGAGUUCUAGUAGUGUAAAGAUUGUAAUAGACUAAUUUAGUGUUUUUUGACGAAUUUCAUUUGUUCUGUGAUCUUUUCAAAAUAUUGAUUUCGUAUGUGAUUUGUAUACCUAUGAAAUGGAAACCUCACAA